rnacentral:rRNA from 1 species
CCUACGGGAGGCAGCAGUGAGGAAUAUUGGUCAAUGGACGAGAGUCUGAACCAGCCAAGUAGCGUGAAGGAUGACUGCCCUAUGGGUUGUAAACUUCUUUUAUAUGGGAAUAAAAUGUUCCACGUGUGGGAUUUUGUAUGUACCAUAUGAAUAAGGAUCGGCUAACUCCGUGCCAGCAGCCGCGGUAAUACGGAGGAUCCGAGCGUUAUCCGGAUUUAUUGGGUUUAAAGGGAGAGUAGGUGGAGUGUUAAGUCAGUUGUGAAAGUUUGCGGAUCAACCGUAAAAUUGCAGUUGAAACUGGCAGUCUUGAGUACAGUAGAGGUGGGCGGAAUUCGUGGUGUAGCGGUGAAAUGCUUAGAUAUCACGAAGAACUCAGAUUGCGAAGGCAGUUCACUGGACUGCAACUGACACUGAGGCUCGAAAGUGUGGGUAUCAAACAGGAUUAGAUACCCGAGUAGUC